GAGUCAUGGGCCCUGAAACCAACCAUCCAAACUUCGAAUAAAUUAACUUAGGUUUAUUUUCACCUAACGAUAUCUGGCAACCUCCCUUAACAAUAUUCCACAUUACAUCGGACCCAAUUAAUAUAUCAACUUUGUUACUUUUAUGGAAGUUUGGAUCGGCGAGUGCAGUAUUGUUGGGUAUGUUUAAAUCCUCGGGAUCGAUUUCUACACUAGGUAAGUUUUCUGAAAUAUUUGAUAUAAUCAUACAAUGUACAUCCGUAGUGUAGGCAUUAAUUCUUGACUUUAAUUUUAAUGUACAAUAUUCAGUGGCUGUAGAUAUUGAAUUGUUCAGUCCACUUAUACACCGUGACUUAGUACUAUUAGUUUUAAUUUUAAGUUUAUUUUUCAGGUUAUCUGUGACAAACGAACUUUGACUUCCACAGUCCAAAAGAACGCGUGCCAGGUAAGUACUGUUGUCACGCUCAACGACGACUUCAACCACUGCAGUGCCCAGGAGGACUUCGCUGUUACUCGAGUAUGAGGCUCUGCAGGAGCUGAGACGACAGUUGGAAGUGGAAUGCCCUGGACGAAGACAAUUGGAGCAGAGCUUGCGUUUGGAAACUUCUGCUUCCCUAGCUUCGAUACUCAAAUUCUUAAAUUGAUCACAUUUAUACACACGAUGAUUCUCAUUACACAUAAAACAUGAUCCAUUUGGCGUAGAUGAGAAAAAAGUUUUAA